rnacentral:rRNA from 1 species
GGGGUCGAGGCUGAGAAUCUAAGCGCCGGUAAACGGCGGUGGUAACUAUAACCAUCCUAAGGUAGCGAAAUUCCUUGUCGGGUAAGUUCCGACCUGCACGAAUGGCGUAACGACUUCCCCGCUGUCUCAACCACAGGCCCGGCGAAAUUGCAGUACGAGUAAAGAUGCUCGUUUCGCGCAGCAGGACGGAAAGACCCCGGGACCUUCACUAUAGCUUGGCAUUGGCGCCUGAAGCGUCUUGUGUAGGAUAGGUGGGAGACUGUGAAGCCCAGACGCCAGUUUGGGUGGAGUCGUUGGUGAAAUACCACUCUGGUCGUUUUGAGCGUCUAACCCGCACCCGUGGAUCCGGGUGGGGGACAGUGCCUGGUGGGUAGUUUAACUGGGGCGGUUGCCUCCUAAAGUGUAACGGAGGCGCCCAAAGGUUCCCUCAGCCUGGUUGGCAAUCAGGUGGCGAGUGCAAGGGCACAAGGGAGCUUGACUGUGAGACGGACGUGUCGAGCAGGUGCGAAAGCAGGGCCUAGUGAUCCGGCACCUACGUGUGGAAGUGGUGUCGCUCAACGGCUAAAAGGUACCCCGGGGAUAACAGGCUGAUCUUCCCCAAGAGUCCAUAUCGACGGGAUGGUUUGGCACCUCGAUGUCGGCUCGUCGCAUCCUGGGGCUGGAGUAGGUCCCAAGGGUUGGGCUGUUCGCCCAUUAAAGCGGCACGCGAGCUGGGUUUAGAACGUCGCGAGACAGUUCGGUCCCUAUCCGCUGCGCGCGUAGGAGAAUUGAGAGGGUCUGUCCCUAGUACGAGAGGACCGGGACGGACGAACCUCUGGUGUGCCAGUUGUCCCGCCAGGGGCACGGCUGGUUGGCUACGUUCGGUCGGGAUAACCGCUGAAAGCAUCUAAGCGGGAAGCCUUCCUCGAGAUGAGUUCUCCCUUCCACCUUCGGGUGGGGUAAGGCCCCCGGUAGACGACCGGGUUGAUAGGCCGGAGAUGGAAGCGCGGUAACGUGUGGAGUCGACCGGUACUAAUAGGCCGAGUGGCUUGAACACAC